UGGGGAAUAUUGCACAAUGGGCGAAAGCCUGAUGCAGCAACGCCGCGUGAGCGAUGAAGGCCUUCGGGUCGUAAAGCUCUGUCCUCAAGGAAGAUAAUGACGGUACUUGAGGAGGAACGCCCCGGCUAACUACGUGCCAGCAGCCGCGGUAAUACGUAGGGGGCUAGCGUUAUCCGGAAUUACUGGGCGUAAAGGGUGCGUAGGGUUGGUUUCUUAAGUCAGAGGCGAAAGGCUACGGCUCAACCGUAGUAAGCCUUUGAAACUGGGAAACUUGAGUGCAGGAGAGGAGAGUGGAAUUCCUAGUGUAGCGGUGAAAUGCGUAGAUAUUAGGAGGAACACCAGUUGCGAAGGCGGCUCUCUGGACUGUAACUGACACUGAGGCACGAAAGCGUG
rnacentral:rRNA from 1 species